UACGAGCACGACUGAGGUGGAGGGUCGUCUCACCUUGCCGUAGGCCUCGGGCUAGUCCCGGCUGCGGAGGGGAUGGCUGUGGGUUAAGCUGGGCACGAGAAAGUUAUUUCUGCCCUGCCAAGUGUCAGAGUCCAGUUUAUUUAAAGUUAUGUUAAGUGAAACAGACACAAGCUCCUUGUGUCCUUCAGGCAAGCCUGAGACAGGUCGGAACAGACAAGCACAACAAACCUCAAACCAUUAUCUGCCGUGUUCACCUCUUGGGGCCCCGAGAGGAUCAUGUAACGCACUAGGUGUGGAAAGGACGCUCCACCUCGUGACGGCGAGCGGCUAUCUACCUGUCAGACUCUAUCUUUUUAAGAGUCUCACGCUCUAUCCACUGAGCUAGCCAGCACCUGCUCGCUCUGUCUUGGUAAGUCCGUUUUUCUAUUAUCUAACUACACAGGGAAAGAAGCCAAAAGGCUACUGAGAGAUAGCUUAGAAUGGUGGC